CAUAUCAAUAAGCGGAGGAAAAGAAACUAACAAGGAUUUCCCCUAGUAACUGCGAGUGAAGCGGGAAAAGCUCAAAUUUAAAAUCUGGCGGUCUUUGGCUGUCCGAGUUGUAAUCUAGAGAAGUGUUAUCCGCGCUGGACCGUGUACAAGUCUCCUGGAAUGGAGCGUCAUAGAGGGUGAGAAUCCCGUCUUUGACACGGACUGCCAGGGCUUUGUGAUGCGCUCUCAAAGAGUCGAGUUGUUUGGGAAUGCAGCUCAAAAUGGGUGGUAAAUUCCAUCUAAAGCUAAAUAUUGGCGAGAGACCGAUAGCGAACAAGUACCGUGAGGGAAAGAUGAAAAGAACUUUGGAAAGAGAGUUAAACAGUACGUGAAAUUGCUGAAAGGGAAACGCUUGAAGUCAGUCGCGUUGUCCAGGGAUCAACCUUGCUUUUGCUUGGUGCACUUUCUGGUUGACGGGUCAGCAUCAAUUUUGACUAUUGGAAAAAGAUUAGGGGAAUGUGGCAUCUUCGGAUGUGUUAUAGCCCUUGGUUGCAUACAAUGGUUGGGAUUGAGGAACUCAGCACGCCGCAAGGCCGGGUUUUAACCACGUACGUGCUUAGGAUGCUGGCAUAAUGGCUUUAAUCGACCCGUCUUGAAACACGGACCAAGGAGUCUAACAUGCCUGCGAGUGUUUGGGUGGAAAACCCGAGCGCGUAAUGAAAGUGAAAGUUGAGAUCCCUGUCGUGGGGAGCAUCGACGCCCGGACCAGACCUUUUGUGACGGUUCCGCGGUAGAGCAUGUAUGUUGGGACCCGAAAGAUGGUGAACUAUGCCUGAAUAGGGUGAAGCCAGAGGAAACUCUGGUGGAGGCUCGUAGCGAUUCUGACGUGCAAAUCGAUCGUCAAAUUUGGGUAUAGGGGCGAAAGACUAAUCGAACCAUCUAGUAGCUG
rnacentral:rRNA from 1 species